AUUGAACGCUGGCGGCAUGCCUUACACAUGCGAGUCGAACGGCAGCGGGCCCUUCGGGGUGCCGGCGAGUGGCGAACGGGUGAGUAAUGCAUCGGAACGUACCCGGGAGAGGGGGAUAACCGGCCGAAAGGCUGGCUAAUACCGCAUGAACUCGGAAGAGCAAAGCGGGGGACCUUCGGGCCUCGCGCUCUCGGAGCGGCCGAUGUCCGAUUAGGCUAGUUGGUGGGGUAAAGGCCCACCAAGGCGACGAUCGGUAGCGGGUCUGAGAGGACGAUCCGCCACACUGGGACUGAGACACGGCCCAGACUCCUACGGGAGGCAGCAGUGGGGAAUCUUGGACAAUGGGCGCAAGCCUGAUCCAGCAAUGCCGCGUGGGUGAAGAAGGCCUUCGGGUUGUAAAGCCCUUUCGGCGGCGAAGAAAUCGGUCAGGCGAAUAGUCUGGCCGGAUGACGGUACCCGCAGAAGAAGCACCGGCUAACUACGUG
rnacentral:rRNA from 1 species